rnacentral:rRNA from 1 species
GAUGAACGCUAGCGGCAGGCUUAACACAUGCAAGUCGAGGGGUAGAGGUUGCUUGCAACCUUGAGACCGGCGCACGGGUGCGUAACGCGUAUGCAACCUACCUUUUACAGAGGGAUAGCCCAGAGAAAUUUGGAUUAAUACCUCAUAGUAUAUAGUCUUCGCAUGUUGACUAUAUUAAAGUUCCAACGGUAAAAGAUGGGCAUGCGUCCUAUUAGCUAGAUGGUAAGGUAACGGCUUACCAUGGCAACGAUAGGUAGGGGUCCUGAGAGGGAGAUCCCCCACACUGGUACUGAGACACGGACCAGACUCCUACGGGAGGCAGCAGUGAGGAAUAUUGGACAAUGGGCGCAAGCCUGAUCCAGCCAUGCCGCGUGUAGGAAGAAGCAUCUAUGGUGUGUAAACUGCUUUUGUACGGGAAGAAACACUCCGACGUGUCGGAGCUUGACGGUACCGUAAGAAUAAGGAUCGGCUAACUCCGUGCCAGCCGCCGCGGUAACAC